rnacentral:lncRNA from 1 species
AGGACGAGGACGAGGACGAGGAGGGCACCUCCGCCUUGGGCUUGAAGUUCCAUGGGCUCGAAGCGCUGGUGGUUGAGGAAUUCCAGGAAGUCGAAGGGGUAGCUCUGGAAGUGCACCCCGUCCUCGCCCCCGAUGCCGCUGCUCCCGCCACCCCCGGCGCCGCUGCCCGCUGGGUUCGCCUCCAUCUCCGGCGGGUGGGAGACGGGAGACCCUGUGAAGAGGAGGACGGGGCUGAGGACACGGCCGCGGCGCUGGGUCUCCCCGCAGGUGAAUGGAGCUGUGCGCCCACUCAUCCAUCCUUGUGCGGAUCACCCCCUAGCCUUCCAGAUUUAGGCUUCCAGUCCCUCUGCCUGUCCACCCCAAAGGGCAGCCCUUCCUCUUGGCUCCCUGGCCCCAGGACUCUCCUACUCACCUUCACCUUCCCUCUCUGUGUUCUCAACUCCCACCCACUCCCCACCUCUUUUCCUUCUCUAAUUCCUUCCAUCUCUCCCCAUCUUUUCUGGGGUCCUGACACAGCUUUGUAGAGGGGACCCUCUCCUCCACACCACCUGCAGGCCCUCUAUUAUUUGUAGAAACGGGGUUUUGCUUUGUUGCCCAGGCUGGUCUGAAACUCCUGGACUCACGCCAUCCUCCAGCCUCCACCUCCCAAAGUGCUGGGUGAUUACAGAUGUGAGCCAGCGCGCUGGCCUGGGCCGUCUCUACUUUCUCUCCUUUUCAGACUCCAAUUGUCCAAGCAUCCUGGGGGCCUCUGGACUCAGUUUUCUUUCCAAACCCUCUCAGACCCUCUGCUGUCUCUCCAUACUCCUGCACCCUACCCCACCCACAGCCCUCCGUCCUCAUCCCUUCAGGUUUUAUCCUAAAAUGAGCAUAAUGAUAAGGGGAAUCACAGUUUCUAUCAGCGUAAUUAGGAGGGAGGACUCUGGGGCCAGAAUCAAAUGUAAGCCCUGCCACUUCUAGCUGUGUGGCCACGGGCAAGUGACUGAACCUCUCUGUGCCUCCAUUUCCUCAUCUACACCUGGGGACCACAAAGCACAUGCCUACCUCACAGGACUGUGAGGAUUCAACACACACAUAUGUGCAAGGCUCUUAGGGGGCGGUUCCUGGCACUCUGUAAGCACUCCGUACAUAGAAGGUAUGGACUGGGCACAGUGGCUGACAGCUGUCAUCCCAGCACUUUGGGAGGCUGAGGCAGGAGAGCUGCUUGAGCCCGGGAGGUGAAGGCUACAAUGAGCUGUGAUCACAUCACUGUACUCCAGCCUGGGUGACAGAGCAAGACCUUGGCUCUAAAAACUAAAAUUAAAAAAUUGAAGAUACGAUACUGUUAUCACUGUUACUACUAGUAGUAGAAAUGGGGAAGUCAGGACAAGCCUAGAGAACUGAAAAAAGUCAGUAUGGGGAGUGCACUCUUUUAAUAUUAAUAGACAGUAGAAAGGAGAAUUUGCUUGCCUGGGAGAAACAAAUUCCAGCAAGGGGGCUGGCAUAUAGUCAGAAGGUGGUCUGAUACAAUCAAAACACAGACCCUGGGCUUGGACAGACCUGGGUUCAAAUCCCAUCUCCACUGGGAUCCACACUUUCUCCAUGUUUAAAAUGGGGGAACCCCUAUACCGCAGGGAGAUUCAACAGGGUUGGAACAGAACAUAAUGAAACACAUGCAUCAGCAGAAUGCAUUCAACCCCCUGAGCUAUUUGUACCAUCCAUGACAUCACACACCUGGGCUAAGCCUAGCAACAGAAGCAGGGAGCUUGAGUUCCAUCCUUGCCCUUAGUGGGGCUUCUCCUGACCCCCCCAUGUCCUUGCCCUUAGUGGGGCUUCUCCUGACCCUCCACCCCCGGCAUCAUUCUCUGGCACCUCCUUUACACGACUUUUCAUUCCAGAUGGCAGGUAUCCAUGUGUGUACCCCACACCACACCAGACCCUCAGCACCCGUAACUGAUCUCCGAGUUCUUGGUCUACUUGCUGGCCUGGGGAAGCACCUCCACCAAGUGGGCGGAGGGUGAGUCGGUGAAGGGCCCAUGAGGUCUGACCCGCUUCCUGUCCAUCAUCCCUACCCGAUGGGGGCCAGGCUCUAAGCCCAGCCCGCUAUGGGGGUCAAGGGGGUUCCUACCAAGGCCUGGACCCUUUAUCCUCUAUCCAUCGGGCUGCUCUCUCCUCCCACAGGUGAGGGGUGAGUGUCUCUUCCACCCCCACCCCAAACGCCAUCCUGGAGUGAGAUAUUUUUAGUCUCCAGCUCCGGGUGUCCUUGUCCUUGGACAAGACUCAACAUCCCAUGCCCUUCACACCCCCUCCGUUUAAUCUGAUCUCCGGAAAGAGGACAGGCUUGGCUGGGGUGGUAAUUGGAAGGCUGUAGGUGGAACCUAAGUUGGGGAGACAGCUCUGGAGGGGGCUGACUGGCCAGGGAGGCAAACACAGGCCAUAAGGAUGCAGGGAAUAGGGGGUGAUUUAGGGCGCUAUGGGGAGGGAGGGCAAGAGUGUUUGGGGAAAGAAGCCCCUGACUAGCUUGUCUCCACUAGAGCACAGGUUAAUCGUAGCUGUCACUGACUGGACAUCUCCUAGAGGCCCGCCACGGUUCUAAGCACGUUACACAUAUUAAUUCACUGACUCCCCACAACUCUAAAUAGGGGCAGCUGUUCCCGCCGUUGGAUAAAUUAGAAAACUAAGGCAUGGAGAGGCAAAGUGAGUUGCCAUGGUCACGGAGUAGGAGUCUGGAUCAAUGGGCUUGAACCCCAUUCCCACCCUUGCCCCCACAGCAGUGUUUCACUGGGCUGUUCCCCGAGUGAACAAAGGAAAGCAAGGACUUGGCCUGUCUUGCUCGCCCCUGUGACCCCAGCACUUAGCGUAGCACUGGCCCAGUGUGGGUGCUUGACAAAUAUCUGCUGGUAUGUGAAAAGGAAACACCACCUUCCUAAAUUACCAAUGGGUCCACAAAGAAAUCAUACAUUAGAAAAUGCUGGCCAGGUGCGGUGGCCCACACCUGUAAUCCCGGCACUUUGGGAGGCCAAGGCAGGAGGAUCACCUGAGGUUAGGAGUUCGACACCAGUCUGGCCUACAUGGCGAAACCCCGUCUCUACUAAAAAUACAAAAAUUAGCCAGGCUUGGUGGUGGGCGCCUGUAAUCCCAGCUACUUGGGAGGCUGAGGCAGGAGAAUCGCUUGAACUCGGGAGGUGGAGGUUGCAGUGAGCUGAGAUCGUGCCACUGCACUCCAGCCUGGGCAACAAGAGCGCGACUCCAUCUCAAAAACACAAACAAACAAAAAGCAAAAAAACUGCUUAGCAAUUAAUGAAAAUGAAAACACAACAUACCAAAGCUGAGGAGGUGCAGCCAAAGCAAUGCUCAGAGGGAAAUGCACAGCUGUGAAUGUCUAUCUUGGUAUUUGUGGAAUGAACAAAGCGAUGAGACUAAGCUGAUCAAACUCCCAGAGGAACGGAGGGGGACAUGUAGCAGAAAUGGAGCUAAAUGAUCCCAGGAAUUCCUGGGAGAAGCAAUUCUGGGGACAGUGAUGUUAUGAGGAGGGCACUGAGGGCAGGGUGUGGAGAUGCUGAAGGGGAUACAUCAGUGGUGGACAGAAUUGAUCAGGCUUAUGAUAAUCUCCACUAGGAAACCAGAAACAUUCCCUCUUUCAUACAACUCAAGCCUAAACUGGUAUCUUUUUAAGAGGGGAUGUCAUAGGAGGGUUUUAUGCAGAGAGAAGCAUGAUGGGGAGGGACCCACCCCUCCACCACCACCACCAAGGGACAGGAGUCCCACAGCAAGUGUAUUAACGGUUCACAUUUAUUGUUUGACCAGUUUGAUAUUUGUUAUUGCCUGGAGGCAGCACAGUCCUGUACCAUGACUGGGCCCAUCUUAUAAGUGGGGAAACUGAGGAGCAGCAUGGGGAAGGCAUUCCUCCAAGGUCAUGUGGCCAAUAAAGAGGAAAGCAGGUAACUGAUUCCAGGUCUUUCUGAUGCCAGACUGUGGGCCGUUCUGCUGCAACAACGCUGCCUUGUGAUGAAAUUCUGGUUUGUUAAUAAAGAGUAACGUGCGCAUAUAACACUGGAUGUGUGCUUUCUACCAGCCCAGCACUCUUGUAACUCUGAUGUGUGUGAGCUCAACGAAUCCUCCCAGUAACCCUAGAAGAUGGUUACAAGCAUUGACUCUGAAAUACAAAGGAAGAGACUGAGGGCCAGAGAGAUAAAUUAAACUUCCAAAGUCAGGCCAGGCAUGGUGGCUCAUGCCUGUAAUGCCAGCACUUUGGGAGGCCGAGGUGGGUGGAUCAACUAUAGUCAGGAGUUCGAGACUAGCCUGGCCAAUAUAUAGUGAAACCCCGUCUCUACUAAAAAUAAAAAAAUUAGCCGGGUGUGGUGGUGCACACCUGUAGUUCCAGCUAGUGGGGAAGCUGAGGCAGGAUAAUUGCUUGAACCCAGGACACAGAGGUUGCAGUGAGCUCACGCCACUGCACUCCAGCCUGGGUGACAGAGUGAGACUCUGUUUCUCAAAAACAAACAAACAAACUUCUAAAGUCACAUUGUUAACUAGUGGCAGGGCCAGUGGUUGAAGAAAGGCAGCAAGGCUCCAGAGUCCCAUCACAUGCUGUCUUUCGGUAUUUCUCCCUCCAAAAUGAAGGAGGACCCCCGCCCCCAAUCCCACUUCAUACUGGAAACAUGCAUUGCUCCACCCAUCUCCCUGCCAACAAAUCCCAAGUCUCUUGGCUUGACCCAAGACCAGAACAAGUCACCAACAUUUGUUGACCUCUAACAAGCAUUGUACUUAGGUGCCUUAUGUGGCUUGUUUCAUUCAAACUUCACAACAAAUGUGUUAUUAUUAUUCCCAUUUUACUGACAGGAGGACUAUAACCAAAGCAUGUCUAUCCUCGGUCCCAAACCAAACAGUAACCCCAUCUCAUUCAAAAGCCACAGUCCUGACUGGGCACGGUGGCUCACGCCUGUAAUCCCAGCAUUUUUGGAGGCCAAGGCAGGCGGAUCACCUGAGGUCGGGAGUUUGAGACCAGCCUGACCAACAUGGAGAAACCCCAUCUCUACUAAAAAUACAAAAUUAGCUGGGCGUGGUGGCACAUGCCUGUAAUCCCAGCUACUCGGGAGGCUGAGGCAGGAGAAUCACUUGAACCCGGGAGGCGGAGGUUGCAGCGAGCUAAGAUCACACCACUGCACUCCAGCCUGGGCAACAAGAGCGAAACUCCUUUUCAAAAAAAAAAAAAAAAAAAGCCACAGUCCUUACAAUGACCUCCACAGUCUCCUGGCUGCUCUUCCCAUGUGCCCACUCUAUUCCUGCUGCAGGGCCUUUGCGCUGGCUGUUGCUGUUGCCUGUAAUAUUCUGACUCUCAGGCAACCAUCUCGCUCACCCCUUCACCUCCUCCCCAUCUUUGGUCAACUGUCUUCUCAAUGAGCCUCUCAGUAACCAAUGACCUGUCACCCAGGCCCACAUCCUCAUCUCCCUAACCCUGCUUCAUUUCUCUCCUUACUGCUCAGCAUCAUUUAUAACCUCACAUAAUCUACUUCUUUGCCUUGAUUUUGUUGGUCUCCCCAUCCAGAUGAUCGGCUUCCUGAAGGCAAGGAUUUUUAUCUCUUGCUCACUGUUCCAUCCCCAGGACCUACAACAGUUCCUGGCUUGAUACAUUUUUGUUUGAAGAAGUGAAUGAAUGAGGCUAGGAAAGGAGGGAGUGAUUUGCUCAAAGCUGUGAACCCUAGUGGAAUCCAGGGCUCAUCCUCCCAAUCACUUCGCUCCUGGGGUUAGGGCGCUGUUAAGAGCAGCCCCCAAGUGGGCCACAGUUGUCCAGGAGAAGGGGAAUUUUUACUCUUGUAUAACUUUUUGGUGUGUGGCUUUUGGGAGGGACAAGAUGACAAGACAUAGGAAAAUCCUGGGGGAGGCCAUCCUGAACCACAGCCCCCCAGGUCUAUCUCUUUAUCCCGUGAUAUUCUGAACACGCACAUAUACUCUUGGUUUUUGUUUUUAUUUUUUUUCACUGCAGCCUCGAACUCCUGGGCUCAAGCAGCCCUCCCACCUCAGCCUCCUGAAUAGCUGGGGACUACAGGUGCCCACCAACCACACCCAGCUUUUUUUUUUUUUUUUUUUUUUUCCUGUAAAGACAGGGUCUCACUAUGUUGCCGAGGUUGGUCUUGAACUCCUGGCCUCCAGCGAUCCUCCCACUUUGGCCUUCCCAACUGCUGGGAUUACAGGCAUGAGCCACCUCGCCUGGCCUGUAUUUUGUCUUUUAAUCAUCUGCCCCCUCAACUAGCAUAUCCACUCCAUGAGGACAGGGAUUCUUGUCUAUUUUGUUCUCUGUUGUACCCCCAAUGUAAAGUAGGUGCUCAUUAAACAGUUGUUCAACCAGUGUUUACGAAUGAACGUAUGAAUGAAUGAAGAACAUUCUGGGCUCGGUAGAGCUGACAAAGGCUAGAUAAUUUAUCCCAGUGCCCUCACCUCCAAAGCCUUUUGAGACCAAAGCUUCCUUCCUCUUGUUCUUGCCUUCAAAUCUUCCACUCCACCCUCACCGGCCUCCCCUGCUGCUCCUCCACUCACCGUGCUCACCGCCACUUCAGGGCCUUUGCACUUGUUGUUCUUGCUGCCUGCUCACCCAGAUCUUUGCAUGGCUAAGCUGCCACUUGUAAUUCAGCUUUCACCUCUAAAGUAGUUCAUCAGGCUCUCAGAGAACCCACAAAACCCCGUGUAUCUUUGUCGACUCGUGUCUGAUCAACUAGACUGUGAGACCCCGCACAGUGAGAACACUGUGUGUAUCGACCCCCUUCGUGGCUGUAUAUUAUACCCUUCAGCUAGAAUAGUGAAUAUGCGUUCAACGCAGAAGGAAUGCCUACGAGAAAAGAAGUCACACCCUAGUGAAGUCCAGGGUCUUCCCUAGGGAGUCCAGGACGAUAGCCUGAGAGCUGGGUGAGAAGCUGCAGGUCAGGGCAACAGUUGUUCACGCCAUAGGAAGAGGAUGAGGCACAUUCUGGGAAGGAAGGCUUCACCGCCUCACUGCGGGACACUGUUCUGUGGCAGAAGUAAUGAAGACGGGCUGACCGCGAUGAGGGUGGGGUGAGAGGAGGUACGGGAGUAUGUCAUGGGAGCCUGGAGCUAAGCAGGCGGAUAUUUCUACCUGAGGCGGGAGAGGAUGUGAGUGUGAAGGAACUCUAGAGGGAGCUGUGCCGCUGCGAUGGGGGGGUGGCUUUGAAAGGGGCAUUCUUAAGGGGAAUCACUGGAGGACCUGCAGAAGGGAAAAAGGCAUUCUUGGUGCUGACCAGAAUAGAAAGUAUUUUCACACCCACGAAGGGGCGUUCUGCUGGGGAGGGAGGUGGUCAGGGCCAUUGGGGGCUGUUGCUGUAUGGACAGAGAUAACGGGGGACAGUUCUGCUGCAAGGCACUAAGGAAACACUCUGGGGAGAAUUAUAUAGAGGAUACUAAUAAGAGGGUUCACGAGCAGCUGCCCUACAUGGGGAGGGGCAAUGCUGAUGGCAUCUGGAGGCUGACCUGGAGGAAGCAAUGACGGGGAGCGCUAUGUGGAGGGGAUCCUACGAGGAGGUAUCAUUUGGGGGCCCUGGCAGCCGUUUAGGGGAUCGCCACGAAUGAAAGCGCUUUGGCAGCCAUCCUAGCUGGGGGCGUUCAUGGGGGAGCUAUCUGCAGUGAUCCUACCGGGGAGCAGUGAUUGGGGGUCCCUUGGCAAGGGCCCGGCGGGAGCUGCACUGACUUGCUAGGGGUUGGGGGACGUUCUGGGGACCACAGCGGGCCAGGGCGGGGCCCCCCGCCCCCGCUGCACCCGGGCCCCCGGGCCACGCACCCCGUCACUCACCGGCGCCGGGGUCUCCGCCGGGAGGAGGCCGAGGAGGCGGAGGAGGCGCCGCCGCUCCGGGGAGACCCGAGGGCC